GGACUACAAGGGUUUCUAAUCCCGUUUGCUCCCCUAGCUUUCGCGCCUCAGCGUCAGUGAAGGUCCAGUCCGUCGCUUUCGCCACCGGCGUUCCUUCUGAUAUCAACGCAUUUCACCGCUCCACCAGAAGUUCCACAGACCCCUACCUCCCUCGAGACCACCAGUAUCCAAGGCAGUUUUCCGGUUAAGCCGAAAGAUUUCACCCCGGACUUGGUGGCCCGCCUACGCGCCCUUUAAGCCCAGUGAUUCCGAACAACGUUCGCACGGUUCGUCUUACCGCGGCUGCUGGCAC
rnacentral:rRNA from 1 species